CUGAUUUCUGGUUAAUUGUCCAGGUGCGUGAAUUUCUCUUAAUCAGCUGAUUAAUUCAUGUGUAAUACUAAUAAUUUAUUUCUCAACUGCCAGAUAUACACAUAUAUAUAACAAUACAAUCCUUUAUGAAACAUUUCCAAUAUCAGACAGCAUUGAUGUAAAAGAAGAAGCAUCCUCAAUAUCUACCAUGUUUUAACUAAAGGAAAAUAUUAUACAAAACAGAUGUAUAGCAUUAUUUCUACAAAUCUGUGGAGGAUUUCCUUGGGAAACAUUUGUUCUGGAAUUAUAUUGUUAGCAAAAUUUCUGAACAUCACUAACUGGAGAGUCAAGACGAAGAUCCCAAGUGCUGAUUAAAGUUGGAUAACUAUAUCUUAGUGCUGUUAAAUAAAGGUAACACUGGACAGAAAUACAGCAGUAGAAGUGUAUGUAAAGAAUAAAGUAUAAGAGAAGAUAGAAAGAUAUAUAAACUGAGAUUUUAGAGGAAAAGUGAUGGAAAAGAGUGAGAAACGUAUACAAUUGAUUUCCUCAGAACCCAUGA